ACUACGGGAGGCAGCAGUGGGGAAUAUUGGGCAAUGGGCGCAAGCCUGACCCAGCAACGCCGCGUGAAGGAAGAAGGCUUUCCGGUUGUAAACUUCUUUUUACAGGGAAGAGUAGAAGACGGUACCUGUCUAAUAAUCCACGGCUAACUACGUUACAGCAGCUGCGGUAAUACGUAGGUGGCAAGCGUUGUCCGGAUUUACUGGGUGUAACGGGCGUGUAGCCGGGUUGACAAGUCAGAUGGGAAAUCCUGCGGCGUAACCGCAGAAUUGCAUUUGAAACUGUUGAUCUUGAGUACUGGAGAGGCAGGCGGAAUUCCUAGUGUAGCGGUGAAAUGCGUAGAUAUUAGGAGGAACACCAGUGGCGAAGGCGGUCUGCUGGACAGCAACUGACGGUGAGGCGCGAAAGCGUGGGGAGCAAACAGGAUUAGAUACCCUUGUAGUC
rnacentral:rRNA from 1 species